UUCUAGAUCUGGAAGUUGUUGGUAUUAUGUGUUGAUGUUUUAGUUUAUUCGGUAUCUAAGUCUUUGGAAAAGAUUCAAAAUCGCUAUUAGUCUAAUAUUUUGUGCAUGUAAAUCAUGUCCAUGCAAUAUUUGGAAGUUUUCGCAUUUUUACUUAGAUUCGGAAGAAAUUAUGUUAAUGUAGUUUUCAAUCAUACUUCCGGCUAUUUGUGUGGAAGAAGGAAGUAUAAAGUAGGGUCUUAAAUUCUUAAUUGCCUUUUGUUUUAUUGUCAAAUUUUCAGUAUUACUUUUUCAAAUUCUAAAUAGUGAUUUGUUUAUUAGAGUAAGUUAGACAUACUCUUUUCAGUUUCAUUUACUAAUAUUUGGCCAGAUUGUUUUCACCUUUAGCUGCUUUAUGACUUUCAUGUCUAUUGUAGGUUAAAAUAUGAGAUUGGAGUUUAAAAAAGUUGUGGUGUAUUAAAAUUUAAAGCAUGUACUCAGCAUUGCCUGAUUUGAAUAAGCAUCCAAAACUAGUUGGCAAUUGCCAAAAUCUUGAGGUAGCAAAUCCUGCUUAAUCAUGUGACUUUUCAAACCAUAACCAUGUGAACAUAGCAUAAAUUAACAGCAUCACAUGUCUGCAGCUUCACUUUUUAAAUAAUGCUAAAUUUCACUUGUACCAAAUUUUCAACCACUAAAGAUCACUACUUGUUGCAUAUAAAUAUGGCAUAACUCUUGCUCAGCAUAGGUUCUUCCAUUUUCUCCCAUCACAUAUACACAUUACAUUUACAUUUUCUUUUUCUCUGAAGAUUGAUUAAUCUUAUACAUAUUUAAUUUCUUGGAAUGGAGCUGAGGAUUUCUAGGGAUGGAUAAGCACUAUGGAUGUGAUAAAGAUCGUAAAACUGUGCUAGCAAAAUCUACAUGCAUGACGUUCGUGGGUCGGGCAAGAACAUCCAUGUCGGCUGUUUCAUGCCCUCAAGUGUGUUUAUUUCAGCUUGUGUUGCUGAAUAUUUCGAGUACACCAGCCACGGUCAAGACUGAGGGCUAUCAGAUACUCUAUAUAUAUAUAUAUAUAUAUACAUAAGUUAGAAGUAAUAAUUUUCCAGCAAGAAUAAAGGGAUACUCUAGCUUCUCUA